rnacentral:rRNA from 1 species
AUUGAACGCUGGCGGCAGGCCUAACACAUGCAAGUCGAGCGAGCGGCGGACGGGUGAGUAAUGUAUGGGAACUGACCGAUAGCGGGGGAUAACUACUGGAAACGGUAGCUAAUACCGCAUACUAUCGGAUAACCCAUAUGGGAUUAGCUAGUAGGUGAGGUAAUGGCUCACCUAGGAGACGAUCCCUAGCUGGUCUGAGAGGAUGACCAGCCACACUGGGACUGAGACACGGUCCAGACUCCUACGGAGGCAGCAGUGGGGAAUAUUGCACAAUGGGCGCAAGCCUGAUGCAGCCAUGCCGCGUGUGUGAAGAAGGCCUUAGGGUUGUAAAGUACUUUCAGUCGGGAGGCGUUACCGACAGAAGAAGCACCGGCUAACUCCGUGCCAGCCGCCGCGGUAAUAC